AAAUAAGAAGCAAUAUUUUGCAUUUAAUUUCGACUUAAAAGAUAGAGUUUCAUUCUCCUUAUUUA
rnacentral:tRNA from 1 species